rnacentral:rRNA from 1 species
AUCAUGGCUCAGAACGAACGCUGGCGGCAGGCUUAACACAUGCAAGUCGAACGGUUGUAGCAAUACAGCAGUGGCGCACGGGUGAGUAACGCGUGGAUAUCUGCCUUUGGUUCGGAAUAACUCCGGGAAACUGGAGCUAAUACCGGAUGGUUCCUGCGGGAUAAAGAUUUAUCGCCAAAGAUGAGUCCGCGUACGAUUAGCUAGUUGGUGAGGUAAAUGGCUCACCAAGGGCGACGAUCGUUAGCUGGUCUGAGAGGACGAUCAGCCACACUGGGACUGAGACACGGCCCAGACUCCUACGGGAGGCAGCAGUGGGGAAUAUUGAACAAUGGGGGCAACCCUGAUCCAGCCAUGCCGCGUGAGUGAUGAAGGCCUUCGGGUUGUAAAGCUCUUUUGGCGGGGACGAUGAUGACGGUACCCGCAGAAUAAGCCCCGGCUAACUUCGUG